GACGAACGCUGGCGGCGUGCUUAACACAUGCAAGUCGAACGGGCCUUGUCCCCUUUUUUUUGGGGGUGGGGUUAGUGGCGAACGGGUGAGUAACACGUGAGUAACCUGCCCCUCACUUCUGGAUAACCGCUUGAAAGGGUGGCUAAUACGGGGUGUUCUGGCCUGCUCGCAUGGGUGGGUUUGGAAAGCUUCGACCGGUUUUGGUUGUUUUGGUGGGGGAUGGGCUCGCGGCCUAUCAGCUUGUUGGUGGGGUGAUGGCCUGCCAAGGCUUUGACGGGUAGCCGGCCUGAGAGGGUGGGCGGUCACACUGGGACUGAGACACGGCCCAGACUCCUACGGGAGGCAGCAGUGGGGAAUAUUGCACAAUGGGCGCAAGCCUGAUGCAGCGACGACGCGUGAGGGAUGGAGGCCUUCGGGUUGUGAACCUCUUUCGCCAGUGAAGAAGGUCCUGCUCUUUGUGGUGGGGUUGACGGUAGCUGGGUUAAUGAAGCGCCGGCUAACUACGUG
rnacentral:rRNA from 1 species